rnacentral:rRNA from 1 species
AUUGAACGCUGGCGGCAGGCCUAACACAUGCAAGUCGAACGAGUGGCGGACGGGUGAGUAAUGUCUGGGAAACUGCCUGAUGGAGGGGGAUAACUACUGGAAACGGUAGCUAAUACCGCAUACCAUCGGAUGUUCCCAGAUGGGAUUAGCUAGUAUGUGGGGUAAAGGCGCACCUAGGCGACGAUCCCUAGCUGAUCUGAGAGGAUGACGAGCCACACUGGAACGGAGACAGGGUCCAGACUCCUACGGGAGGCAGCAGUGGGGAAUAUUGGACAAGAGGGGGAAGCCUGAUGCAGCCAUGCCGCGUGUAUGAAGAAGGCCGUCGGGUUGUAAAGUACUUUCAGCGGGGAGGCGUUACCCGCAGAAGAAGCACCGGCUAACUCCGUGCCAGCAGCCGCGGUAAUUC